GACGAACGCUGGCGGCGUGCUUAACACAUGCAAGUCGAACGGAAAGGCCCUGCUUUUGUGGGGUGCUCGAGUGGCGAACGGGUGAGUAACACGUGAGUAACCUGCCCUUGACUUUGGGAUAACUUCAGGAAACUGGGGCUAAUACCGGAUAGGAGCUCCUGCUGCAUGGUGGGGGUUGGAAAGUUUCGGCGGUUGGGGAUGGACUCGCGGCUUAUCAGCUUGUUGGUGGGGUAGUGGCUUACCAAGGCUUUGACGGGUAGCCGGCCUGAGAGGGUGACCGGCCACAUUGGGACUGAGAUACGGCCCAGACUCCUACGGGAGGCAGCAGUGGGGAAUAUUGCACAAUGGGCGGAAGCCUGAUGCAGCAACGCCGCGUGCGGGAUGACGGCCUUCGGGUUGUAAACCGCUUUCGCCUGUGACGAAGCGUGAGUGACGGUAAUGGGUAAAGAAGCACCGGCUAACUACGUGCCAGCAGCCGCGGUGAUACGUAGGGUGCGAGCGUUGUCCGGAUUUAUUGGGCGUAAAGGGCUCGUAGGUGGUUGAUCGCGUCGGAAGUGUAAUCUUGGGGCUUAACCCUGAGCGUGCUUUCGAUACGGGUUGACUUGAGGAAGGUAGGGGAGAAUGGAAUUCCUGGUGGGGCGGUGGAAUGCGCAGAUAUCAGGAGGAACACCAGUGGCGAAGGCGGUUCUCUGGGCCUUUCCUGACGCUGAGGAGCGAAAGCGUGGGGAGCGAACAGGCUUAGAUACCCUGGUAGUCCACGCUGUAAACGGUGGGUACUAGGUGUGGGGUCCAUUCCACGGGUUCCGUGCCGUAGCUAACGCUUUAAGUACCCCGCCUGGGGAGUACGGCCGCAAGGCUAGAACCCAAAGGAAUUGACGGGGCCCCGCACAAGCGGCGGAGCAUGCGGAUUAAUUCGAUGCAACGCGUAGAACCUUACCUGGGUUUGACAUGGAUCGGGAGUGCUCAGAGAUGGGUGUGCCUCUUUUGGGGUCGGUUCACAGGUGGUGCAUGGCUGUCGUCAGCUCGUGUCGUGAGAUGUUGGGUUAAGUCCUGCAACGAGCGCAACCCUUGUUCACUGUUGCCAGCACGUUAUGGUGGGGACUCAGUGGAGACCGCCGGGGUCAACUCGGAGGAAGGUGGGGAUGACGUCAAGUCAUCAUGCCCCUUAUGUCCAGGGCUUCACGCAUGCUACAAUGGCUGGUACAGAGAGUGGCGAGCCUGUGAGGGUGAGCGAAUCUCGGAAAGCCGGUCUCAGUUCGGAUUGGGGUCUGCAACUCGACCUCAUGAAGUCGGAGUCGCUAGUAAUCGCAGAUCAGCAACGCUGCGGUGAAUACGUUCCCGGGGCU
rnacentral:rRNA from 1 species